rnacentral:tRNA from 3 species
AAGAUUUUAAGUUAAUCAAACUAAUAACCUUCAAAGUUAUAAAUAUAGUUAAUUCUUUAAAUCUUA